GCUCGUUUAACCCUAAUCUGGUAAGGGGGCUGUCUUGAAAACAGCCAGUAGCCAUUGACUUGGUGUGUAGGUUCAAAUCCUACAGCGAGCG
rnacentral:tRNA from 1 species